rnacentral:misc_RNA from 1 species
GCUCGGGCAGCGACGACAUCGCAUCCGCGCCUCUUCAGUUGUUGGCUCAAGCGCUCGUUGGCCUUGGCCGACGUCGGUUUCCUGUGCUGAAUACCUAUCGCGAGGGCAUUUUGUUGGCUGCAUCGUCCCUUUUCCGCCUCGCMCUGCUGCGCCCGUUGGCGUCGUGGWGCGGGGUGGACCUCAAAGCGUGCGCCGUGUUCCGCAUCCCGUGCACUUCAAUACGGAUGCUCGGGUUGUCGGCCCNCGGCGCMCUGCUCRGUCCCUCGGAUGCGGAACACCGAGUGGGUACGAGGCCCUCGGCCUCCAUCUGCCCCGAAAAAAGCGUUYUACGCUUCGUGCGAACGACGGCCGCUCCGAUUUCGACCGUGUCCUCGUGGCUCGGGUCAUGUC